UUAAAAGCUGCCUGAUUUGGAGGGAGCCGUGGUCUUUGUGUUCUCUAUGCUACACCUCACUGGGAGUGCUGUGGGUAGGACACGGGAGAAUUGAGAACAAGGCACGUUAAGAUGAUCUGUUGAAGACCAGGAGCGUGGGAAACAAACAGUAGAAUAGGCCAGGCUGCUCCUUUUGACCCUUCUGCGGCAUGGAGACCGGGUGCUGACCCCUCGAGAGCUUUCCAGAACAAGUCUCCAUUGCAGCCACUUCUGGGACAGAGCAUUCCCACAGUCGGAUGGCAAAGGACUCAGAGAGA